rnacentral:rRNA from 1 species
GACGAACGCUGGCGGCAUGCCUAAUACAUGCAAGUCGAGCGAACAGAUGAAGUGCUUGCACUUCUGACGUUAGCGGCGAACGGGUGAGUAACACGUAAGGAAUCUACCUAUAAGCGGGGGAUAACAUUCGGAAACGGGUGCUAAUACCGCAUAAUAUCUUCUUCCGCAUGGAAGAAGAUUGAAAGACGGCUCUGCUGGAACUUAUAGAUGACCUUGCGGUGCAUUAGUUAGUUGGUGGGGUAACGGGCUACCAAGACGAUGAUGCAUAACCGACCUGAGAGGGUGCUCGGCCACAUUGGGACUGAGACACGGACCAAACUCCUACGGGAGGAAGCAGUAGGGAAUCUUCCGCAAUGGGCGAAAGCCUGACGGAGCAAUGCCGCGUGAGUGAAGAAGGCCUUCGGGUCGUAAAACUCUGUUAUAAGAGAAGAACAAAUUGUAGAGUAACUGCUACAGUCUUGACGGUAUCUUAUCAGAAAGCCACGGCUAACUACGUGCCAGCAGCCGCCGUAA